rnacentral:ncRNA from 1 species
CACCGCCCUUUGCUACUACCGACUGACUCGAAUUUAGUGAGGUCUUCGGACUGGCUCUCGAAGCGGCUUUCGGGUCGCGUGGUCGUGCUGGAAACAUGACCAAACUUAAUCCUUUAAAGGAAGUAAAAGUCGUAACAAGGCGUCCGUAGGUGAACCUGCGGAAG